UAAAAGGGGGUUCAAUCCCUUGAAAGUCAGACAGCUCUGACUUUUUCCCCUCUUCUGAGAAAGAGUCUCACUAUGUUGAGGGUCUCACUUUGUGGUCCUGGUGGCCUGGAACUAACGUCGUAGCCUGCCUGCCUCUCCAGUGCUGGGAGAGAAGUGUGUGCUACCACCACCCCUGUCUCGCCUCGCCUUGACUGCAAUCCAAGCCUCGGCCUUCGCUCGCUGGAUAUCCUUGCCUUCAUGGGACUCCCAAGCCUCAGCUGGCUUAUCUGUAACAGCUGCUUUAACGGUAGCCCUGUUGCAGAGGCUGGCUAAGGUAACCGGUAAUGGAGUCUCACACCUGGCUGAAAAAGGAUGACUCUAAAUAGAAAAGAAAACUGAAGCCAGCCAGGCAGCAGUUUGCUCCAUCCCUGUCCACCUAAGGUUCUAGACGCCAGCAUCGAAAUCCAAAUGAUGGACUUCGUAGAAUUCCUGCCUUCAUCAUGCUAUAUAAUAGGAAGCAGCAUUUUAAAUCAUUAAAGACCCCCUGCUGAUGGACUACCUCAACAAGGUCAAGGCUGGAUCAGGACACAAGCUGUGGACCAAGCAAGCAUCCUAUCUGUCUUCAUCCGACCAACCCUCAAGUAGGGAAGGAAAACUCUUCAGGGGUUUUAACCACCCUCCCCCAGCCCUCAAGAAGAGUUUGGACUUUCCUGUCUCUGCUUUGCAGCAGGUCUCUUUCUGUGUGUUUGAUGAAUCUGUGUGUUUUUCUCAUCCUCAAUAAAUGCCAGUUU